rnacentral:rRNA from 1 species
GAUGAACGCUAGCUACAGGCUUAACACAUGCAAGUCGAGGGGUAACGAGAGGGAAGCUUGCUUUCCUUGUCGACGACCGGCGCACGGGUGAGUAACGCGUAUCCAACCUGCCCCCAACUAGGGAAUAACCUUGCGAAAGUAAGACUAAUACCCUAUGAUUUCCUCAGAUGUCAUCUGACGAGGAAUAAAGAUUUAUCGGUUGUGGAUGGGGAUGCGUCUGAUUAGCUUUUUGGCGGGGUAACGGCCCACCAAGGCAACGAUCAGUAGGGGUUCUGAGAGGAAGGUCCCCCACAUUGGAACUGAGACACGGUCCAAACUCCUACGGGAGGCAGCAGUGAGGAAUAUUGGUCAAUGGGCGGAAGCCUGAACCAGCCAAGUAGCGUGCAGGAUGACGGCCCUAUGGGUUGUAAACUGCUUUUAUACAGGAAUAAAGUUAGCCACGUGUGGUUAUUUGUAGGUACUGUAUGAAUAAGGACCGGCUAAUUCCGUGCCAGCAGCCGCCGUAA